UACGAAGGGUGCUAGCGUUGUUCGGAAUCACUGGGCGUAAAGCGUGCGUAGGCGGCUACUCAAGUCAGAGGUGAAAUGCCGGGGCUCAACCCCGGAACUGCCUUUGAAACUAGGUAGCUAGAGUACUGGAGGGGAUAGCGGAAUUCCUAAUGUAGCGGUGAAAUGCGUAGAUAUUAGGAGGAACACCGGUGGCGAAGGCGGCUAUCUGGACAGUAACUGACGCUGAGGCACGAAAGCGUGGGGAUCAAACAGG
rnacentral:rRNA from 1 species